UACGUAGGGUGCGAGCGUUAAUCGGAAUUACUGGGCGUAAAGGGUGCGCAGGCGGAUAUAUAAGUUGGAUGUGAAAUCCCCGAGCUUAACUUGGGAAUGGCAUUCAAGACUGUAUAUCUAGAGUUUGUCAGAGGGGGGUAGAAUUCCAAGUGUAGCAGUGAAAUGCGUAGAGAUUUGGAGGAAUACCGGUGGCGAAGGCGGCCCCCUGGGAUAGAACUGACGCUCAGGCACGAAAGCGUGGGUAGCAAACAGGAUUAGAUACCCUGGUAGUCCACGCCCUAAACGAUGUCUACUUGCUGUUGGGGGUAAAACCUAAGUAGCGAAGCUAACGCGAGAAGUAGACCGCCUGGGGAGUACGGUCGCAAGAUUA
rnacentral:rRNA from 1 species